rnacentral:lncRNA from 1 species
CCGCCGGGCCGCGUCGGGCUCGGCUCCUCCGAACCGUCUGGCGGACUUGGCACCGGCCCCCGCUCCUCAGUGCCCCCGCGUGCCGCCAGCCCUGAGCACUAAGAAUACAAACCGUGUGAACCCCUCCAUGUGGAGUCUCCAGGCAGAAGAGGAAGCCAUGGCCGCCUAGUGGCUGCCAGGGAGGCUGGCAGGAAGGGGCUUCAUCAGACAUCUCCUGGGAAACAGUGAACUCCCCA